AGAGUGAACGCUGGCGGUAGGCCUAACACAUGCAAGUCGAACGGCAGCACAGUAGGAGCUUGCUCUUACGGGUGGCGAGUGGCGGACGGGUGAGGAAUACAUCGGAAUCUACCUUUUGGUGGGGGAUAACGUAGGGAAACUUACGCUAAUACCGCAUACGCCCUUCGGGGGAAAGCCGGGGACCAGCAAUGGCCUGGCGCUGAUAGAUGAGCCGAUGUCGGAUUAGCUAGUUGGUGAGGUAAUGGCUCACCAAGGCGACGAUCCGUAGCUGGUCUGAGAGGAUGAUCAGCCGCACUGGAACUGAGACACGGUCCAGACUCCUACGGGAGGCAGCAGUGGGGAAUAUUGGACAAUGGGCGCAAGCCUGAUCCAGCCAUACCGCGUGGUGAAGAAGGCCUUCGGUUGUAAAGCCCUUUGUGGUAAGAAAGCAUUCGUUAAUACCCGGUGUUCUGACGGUACCCAAGAAUAAGCACCGCUAACUUCGACGCCAGCAGCCGCGUAAC
rnacentral:rRNA from 1 species